rnacentral:rRNA from 1 species
CCUACGGGGGGCAGCAGUGGGGAAUAUUGCGCAAUGGGGGAAACCCUGACGCAGCAACGCCGCGUGAGUGAUGAAGGCCUUCGGGUUGUAAAGCUCUUUCGGUUGGGAAGAAGGGUGUGGUGACUAAUAAUCAUUACAUUUGAUGGUACCAAAAGAAGAAGCACCGGCAAACUUCGUGCCAGCAGCCGCGGUAAUACGAAGGGUGCGAGCGUUGUUCGGAAUUACUGGGCGUAAAGGGUUCGUAGGCGGGAAUGCAAGUCAAGUGUGAAAUCCCCGAGCUUAACUUGGGACGUGCAUUUGAGACUGUGUUUCUUGAGUUUCGGAGAGGGUGGUGGAAUUGCUGGUGUAGGAGUGACAUCCGUAGAGAUCAGCAGGAACACCGGAGGCGAAGGCGACCACCUGGCCGAAUACUGACGCUGAGGAACGAAAGCGUGGGGAGCAAACAGGAUUAGAUACCCCUGUAGUC